UUACCAGUCAAGCGUUCCUAGAGGAAGGUCAAACACCAGUUAAACUCCACCAUUUUGCCUCUUAGUGCGCAUGCUUGAGCCCGCUUACCCAGCUCCUGAGAUUUUAUCGGGAAGCUACUGAUCAGCAGCUUCAGGUGUUUUCUGUCUACUGGGAGACUGCCUUUCCCCGGCGUUGGCUGGGACCAAUUAUCAUUUUAGAGACAGUUUAACAACUGCCUAACCAUCACCUGAUGGUCACCUGACAUUGUUGGGCUGGGAGUUCGCGGGGCUCUCCUGCUCUGCUCACCAUUGCCUAACUAUCUACUGUAACAAUACCACCUAGCAAAGCUGUGGCCGUGUCUUGCAGGAAGAAGCACAUGUUCUUCCUCCAGAGUCCAGUAUGAUGUCUAAAGCAGAUCUGUUCUGAACCCACCACUUGUCCAAUUUCAUCAUCUUCUUGGAUGAGGAGUUCUGUGGCUUAGAGGAGAAAAAGAAACCUUUUUCUCUACUCUCAGAUGAGAAAACUGAAACAGAAAGGUCACCUCAGCUGUUGCAAAGUAAUAAAUGGCAAGACUGGAAUUCAGAGAAGGGCUGUGUAGCCCCAAGUUCCACUCGUAACCAUUACUGCACAGCCCUACCCUCAGAGGACUUGCAUUCCUGUUCUUGGAUGUGCAGAAUGCAUCACCUGUAACAUCUGCAUGCACCCCGAGACAUCUGCAUCACCCCCAAAGUUAAGUCUGUCCCAUCCCCACCUUGCCCCAGCCUGCUCCUCUGUCUUACAUUUCAGUCCUCUGAGAGUUGAAGAGCUGGCCCAAGCCCCAAUCUGAGCCACUCUGCUUGAUCCAAGCCAACUUCCCACCAAGAGCUCAGACUGCUGCUCCCCCAGAACGCAAGUCCUUCUUACCCAAUAUUAAGGCAGUACAGGGCAGUUAAGAAGAGCUUACAGUUAGACUC